AGCGGAACUGACAAUAACACAAAACCAAAACAACAAAUGAAAACAACAAGCCCUACUCGAUCAUACAGAUAAUCCUCGCACGAGCAUCGCCCGUUUUAUUACAUAGCUUAUAAGGUACGUAGCACGAAGGGCACUUCACUGCAUGCAAAAUCGCAGCUUCGAUAACCCUUACAUGGAGCUUACACGAUCAUCCGAACCCAUGUCGGAGGGUUCUGUAGUGCGCUGCGACGAAACCAGAGUCGGGUAAAUACCGUAGCUAGCCAGACCACAUAAUCCAGGAUAUGCCGUGUCUCUUAACAUCCUCACGUAUCCAUUUUCUCCCCACGUGUUGCCCCAUGAAUUUUUUAUUAUCCAAUACUUGUCUCCGGUGCUGCUGUCCUGCCCGUAACCUACGACGGUGACGGCGUGGAAAAUAUUCGUCCCACAAGGUCCUUUAAAGAUACCGCCAUUGUAGUGAUUGAAGUAAUAAGAGCUAGCAUCAAUAGCAAUAACUGUCGGCUGGUUCGCCACAGCAUACAUGAUCGCACGUUCAUUGUAGCUAGGUUGUACCUGUUGAUAGCCGGUAAUAUAAGCUGCGUUCGGUUUGCUAUUUGCAGCGCAAGUGCCUUUAUAUCCUACAUAGGGAUAGUUCGCCUGCGCGGUCACGCCCUUGUUAGCGAUGAUGAAUUCGUAGGCUUUGUGCACCCAACCAGAUGUGCACCCGUUGCUAACAGUACAAUCUAAAACUUCUUGCUCCGAUAGAGAUAUUAGUUGUCCUGUUUUGAUCUUGUAGAUGCCUUCUACCGUCGCGAUUGAAGAGAAUGCCCAGCAAGAACCUAAUUUCAAAACAUAUAUUCAAGUAAUUAGCACAACUGGUACAAGCAAAAGUUUCGUAGAUUAUUAAUUAAGAUGUAAGAAGAACAUUCAAACAAGUAUGGACAAGGUGGAAAUAUUGAUUACUGUAUUACUUUAUUAUCUAUGUUGUUUACUUGUGUGAAAAUGAUUAAUGUCGUCAUACUUCUUGUCAGAAAUUAAUUUUUCUAGAAACUUAAACUAUCGAAGAAUGAUUUCUAAUUAUUAAGAAUUAAUACACCUUACGUGUAAUCUACAAAUUUAUAGAUAGUAGAUGAUAACGUGUGUUCGUACACUUUUAGUUCGUCUGAGACAUGAACCUUGCAUUUAAAUGCGGUAGAGGUUUGAUUUCUUUGUCAACAUAAAUGGCUGAUGGAACAGUGAGAUUUGGGCCCAAGGCAUCCUAUUCUCAUCAGGUUAAUUAAAAAAUAAAAUUUGUAAAGGUUCAGGAUGCUAUAGCUAGAAAUUAAUGUGCUUUAGUUCUCUAAACUCAACACUUGAUUCUUACCGCAAGAGCCUUGAUUCUUGACUGGUGUGACGGCACCGUAAUCCCUCCAAUCAAUGCUUUGAGGUAUCGCGGACAUGUUUACAUCCUCAAACGACACCGAUGGCUCUAAAUUUGUCAUAUUUAGAGGAAGAGAUAGACCGACAUGCUGAGCCACAAUUUCAUUAUUUGUCAUGUCAGCGAAUUGGUUAAUGCCCAGAGUAUACGAGUUUCCGCCACGCCUGUUAAAGGCUUCGAUGCGGUUUACAUUGUCUUUAAAGAUCUCAAAACGGCGCAUCUUCUCAGCAUCGUCACUGUAAACUCGGCCGAAAUCAGCCAUCCAUUCUUCAAACCUCUUCAUCAUCGAAUCAUCUGCUUCGCCGCGAGAAGCCAACGACGAAGCCCACAUCACAGAAAGAAACAAAAAAAGAAACAAUAUUUGGAAUUUGGAAGCCAUAGCUCUGACUUACAAAUGCUUUUGUUGCUGAGAGUUAGGCUCUCCGCAUCGAGUUUAUAUAGAAGUUCUCGGCCCAUGCACUAAAGUUGCUGGACCAUUAAAUNUCGAAUCAUCUGCUUCGCCGCGAGAAGCCAACGACGAAGCCCACAUCACAGAAAGAAACAAAAAAAGAAACAAUAUUUGGAAUUUGGAAGCCAUAACUCUGACUUACAAAUGCUUUCGUUGCUGAGAGUAAGGCUCUCCGCAUCGAGUUUAUAUAGAAGUUCUCGGCCUAUGUACUAAAGUUGCUGGACCAUUAAAUUUUAAUUUUUUAAAAACUUUUUUUAGAGGAAAAGAUACAACGUGCAUGUGAUGAAAUCAUUAAUUAAUUUCUCUCUUAUCCAUUGUUCGAUAGGAAAGUCGCAAUCAAGAGAGGUACAACUUUUCACUCCGUACGCGAGAGUUAUAGUGGCUGAGCUUGCCCCUCCAUGUGUGUUGACGUACGUCGUUGCAUGAUUGAUAAUACAGCAUGCGUUGCACAACAGGAAUUAAAAAUACAGCAUGUGCAUGCGCAACAGGAAUUAAAAAAUACAGCAUGUGUCGCACUAUAGGAAUAAGAAUAAGAGCCGCACAUAAUUUUAAAAUGAUAUAUGUACAUUAACAAAUAUUAUUAUUGUUUACAAUAGCUCUUUUUCUUUUUUUUUUCUUUUUUUUUUGAGAGGAAUCUCAUCAAAAAUAGAGAAUUGUCUAGAUAUCUAUCGUUUCCUGAUGUGUCGAUAUGUUGAAGGUGUUUUGGAUUAUAGUGGCGUUGGACCACAACAUACAUGUGAGUAGUUUAGAUAUCAUGUUAUUUUCUGUAGAUAUUUAAGAUUUCGAUAAAUUGAACUACAUGUCUCUAUUUUUUAAAAAAUUUGAUAUAUAUUUAAGACAUGACUCUUUCAAUUAUAUCAUGCUAGUUCUUAUUCUGAAUAAAAAAAAGGGCUAAAUUUUUUCUGAGUAGAUUUUUCUUUUUUCUUUUUCUUUUCUCUCUCUCUCUCUCUCUCUUUUGAGACCUAGUAGUCUUAUAUUUUGUAGCUAAGUUUAUUUUCGAAAUGAAUGAAGCAGAUAGCUUGCUAUCUUUUUCUCAAAAAAAAAAAAAAAAAAAGCUUAAAUUGAAUCAGUCAAACCUAUCCCCUGCUGUGUAUCAGUUACAACCUCAAUUUUAAAUAUGUUGAAAGGCAAAUUGCACUAAUAAUCUCAACAAACUUCUAUUUUUAGUCCUCAAUUUUAAGUUUUCAAUAUUUGGGACUCGUGACUAUCCAUUCUAGUGCUUAGUUAAAAAAAGUAAAAAAUACAAAAAAUUACGAGCAAAUUAAGCUAAAUUGUAGAAAAGCUCCUUACAUAUGUUGGAUUUUACACUUUUUCUUCAAUAUUUAAACUAUCAGCCAAAUCAUUAUAUACUUUACAACCACUCGCACCAAUAUAAAUUAAGAAGCGAAAAAAGUUCUAAUAUCGUGUUAAAGAACUGAAUCUAAUCAAAACAAAGUCACGGUAAAGAUAACUCUCACAUUAGAUGUACUAUUUAAUAUUAUCUAAUAAUAUAACCAAACAAGUACUCUAUAGAUGAGCGUACAUGCUAUCAGAAGCAGUCGAUGAGCUUCCCGUGCCUUCCAAGUCGUUUUGACUGUUGCGACUUGCGAAUCGUCGAUCGACUCCGUUAAACUUGAUCUAGAGUAUUUGAAGUACCUAGAAAAUAAAUUUUAUGAUUUUACGAUAUCAUUUGCCUAGUGAACGAAGGAGCUCAAAAUCAACGGCUGAAAAUAAAAAUCUUACAAAAUAUAAUAAUAUGACAUUAAAAUUUUAAAUCAAAGAUAUUUAUCUUGUUUUAUAUAGUAUAAAGAAUUUUCUAUCAAAAUUUCACGUGAUUUGGAUAUUUCUACACCGUUAAACUUGCAAACGGCUCACUACGGCCAUUGAAAUUUGUUGAUUUUGAGCCCAUUCGAUCACUAGGCAAAUAAUAUCGAAAAAUAAUAAAAUUUAUUUUCUAGGUACUCCAAAUACUCUAGAUCAAGUUUAACGGAGCCGAUCGACGAUUCGAAAGUCGCAAUAUCGAAAACGAGUUGGAAGCACGGAAGGCUCCGUGCUUCCGAUAUCAUAGUAGCCUCACUCCUCUAAUAAUAUAAUUUUGUAUUUUGUAUUUCAAUUAUAUAUACUUUCCAUAUUGACCCUCACAUUACCCCAUAAAUAUUCAAAACAAAUAAAUCUACAAAAAUAUUUUUUUUUGAGAUAUUUUUGUAUCAUAAUGUUGCAUGUGCAUGUGCAUGUGCAUGACUUUUCAAAUUGCCUGGGACAAAAAUAUUAUAUGUUUGGGGACUUUGCGGAUCGGCGCCACGUGGUCGAUUCAAUGGUCACGGAUCUCAGUUGCUUUUUCUCUCUCUCUAAAAACACAGAAUUUUUUUUUUGUCUUUCCAUCCGUGGCCAUCGGAUCGGCCACGUGGCACCAAUUUGCAUAGUCCCAAACACAUGCCCAUAAAAUUUUUGUACAAUUGUCUGGGGGCCAUCCCAAUAAUUUUGCAGCCAACGCAUUCAAUGCGGUGACAACUUAAAUUUAAUUAUUGGAGCAAGAAAAUGUGAAACCCUUAAACUUUAAGCGACUUUGAAAUAGCUCCUCAAUAUGGUUUUUCCCUCAUUGCCAUGUUUUAUAUUAGUUUAGGGUGUGUUUAGUUCUACCUAAAAUUGUUCCAAUUUUUUUUUUUCGGUUGAAAAGUAAAAUCUCAAAACAGAACCAGAAACCAUAAUGUCGAAGCAAACAACAGAACCAGAAACCAUAAUGUCGAAGCAAGCUUAGCAAUUGGAUGCAGCAAACAUCCAUAUUUAUGCAAGUUAAGCAAACAAGAUAGCAAACUGCAGUGUUGCUAAAUCAUUUGCUUCCCACUUAUUAAGAUGAGCACAAUGUCGAAAAAAUAUUAUUAUUAUACUUUCAAAAAUACAAUUAAUUUAUUAUUGAUAAUGUGGUAUAAAUAUGAUACGGUAAAUUUUCUCAUCGUCAUUUGUUUGGACCGAUACGAUGUAAUCGGGAGGGGUACAACUUUCACUCUUACGCAAGAGUUAUUGCUGUUGAUGUGUUGUUUAUUGGGACAAAAGUUUUAUAGGCAUAGUGCUCAAACUAAUUAAUUUGGAGAUUAUGCGGACUGAUGCCACGUGGCCGAUCCGACGGCUACGGAUGGAAAAAAAAAAAAAAAAAAAUUCGUGAUUUUAGAGAGAGAAAAAAAAGCACGGAGAAUCCGUGCCCGUCAGACUGCCACAGGGCGGCCGUAUCCGCAUAGUGCCCAACCAAACUAAUUAAUUGAGCACUACAGCCCAUAAAAUUUUUGUCCGUUUAUGGAAUUAUUUUUUCAGGAGAAGAAUGACGCUAAUCUGCUACCAUAAUAAAGAGGGUGAAUUAAUAGCUACAAGGAUGAGGACAGCAACGUGUCACAGAAAGAGAGACAGAAAAAAAAACAACGAAAAAAAACAUAGGAAGGUAGUUUCGAUUACAAGACCCAAAGAAUGUUCCAAGAGUUUUAUUGGAAUGAUACGCGAAUCAUGUUUGCACAACGGGAGGAGGAGCAAAUAAGAGAGCAAGCAUAAAAAUUACAACGCGAUUCACGCUCUCUUAAAAUAUUAUAAAUAUUUACAAAAUACCUUUUAAGCGAAAAUAGUCCCAUCAAAACAUAUGUUGAGAGUUACAAAUAAGGACGUGUUUUGGUUCGCUUUUUUUUCGCGCCUGGAAUCAAACUUCGAAAUCGGAAUGGGUAAAUCACAUUUGUGGGUGUUGGUACGGCGGAGUGCCAUCCAAUUCCCGAUGCCCGAGUGGACAUGGAAUCCCCCAAUCACUCUCUUUUCAUUCCGCGGCUUAGGAGGCCGAAUUGAAAUUGAAUCCGACGGAAUGAUAUUUAAUUCGGAUUAAAUUUAUUUUUAAUUGUUUUUAAUUAAACAUAGAGUUAAAAUCAAAAUUAAAAAUAUAGUAAUUUUUAAAUUUAAUUUAAAACCUAAAUUAAAAUUAAAAUGUAAAUCAAAGUAUUUCGAAUACUAAACUUAAUGAAUUGAAUUUAAAAAUUAAAUUUUAAAAUUUAUAUAAAGUUUUAUUCAAAUUUAUUGCAACCCUAAAUUAAAUUUAUGAUUCAAAUUAAAAAUUUAAAUUUGUAAAUUUUAAGUUGAAUUUGAAUAAAUCUAAAUUUAUUUCAUAUUUUUAAUUCAUCACACUCACUUAAAGUUUAUUUUUUUAAAAAAAAUAGAUUUUAAAUUUGACAUUAUUCAAAUUUUGAUAUAAAUUUUAAUAUUUAAUUUUAAUUUGAAUUUAAAUUAUAUAUGAAAAGAUAAUGUUAGUAUAGUUAAUUGAUUACUUUUUAUAUCCACCUGAACCAAACACUGAAUAAGGAAUGAUUUAUGCGAUUCCGAUUCAAGGUAUUAAACCAAAUCAGGGAAUAGUAAGAGCAAUUAACAAUUCCGAUUCCAGCUUUUGGAUUCCGAUUACGCGAUUGCCGACUCCGAUUUUCGAACGACAAACACUGCCCUAUUACCAUUGACUUUUACCAUUGACUAUUAUAUAUCUAUUAAUAGUCGGCUUAAAUUUUUAUAGUGAUAUCAAUAAAAAGGGGGGCGACGAUAUUGCCCAGGCCAUUCAUUGAAGAGGACAUGACCCUACAUAUUUUUGAAAUGCCCUCUAAAUAUUUUAUGCAAUACAUUUAUAUCAUCAUGCAUCACAAUGAAUAAUUAAAAAUAAAAAUAAAAAUAAAAAUUAGAAUUAAAACUAAAAUUAAACUUUUAAUGUAAAUAAAAGUGCAAUCAAAUUUAAAUCUAAAUUUAAAUUGAAAUAAAUAAAACUAAUUCAACAUCUAAUUUGACAAGUAACAUUAGUGAAUUCUUAAUUGGAUUCAAUUGAAUUUUCAAAUUCGAAUUACAUUUGAGUGCAGCUAAGAUCAAAGUUUAAAUGAAAAUUGACCAAAUAAUGUAAGCUGAAAUGCAGCUAUUGCGUUACAAGUGCCUGGUAAUGCUUGAUAAGGAUAGUAAAGCGCGCUUCGACAGGUCACCCGUUGUUAGAUAUUAUGAAACGUAGCCUUGUCCACCCAACCGCCUGCACCCAUAGUCCGUAGUUUAAUAAUACAACAGCACAAUCGAGAACUUCUUUCUCCGAAAGAGAUACUAAUCCCUGCUUUGACUUGUAGAUCUCUUUCACUGUCGCAUAUUGCACUGAAGCCUGCAAAACCUAUGCAGAACAAAGUUUUACGUAGCAUAACUAACUAGAGACAAAGUUAUAUAAUGAUAUACGCAUGAACUAAGGAAACAUUCAAACUAACAUAAUUAACGUUAUUUGCAAGUACAGAGCGCUUUUAACUUGUUUAAGAUUUUGAGUGUUAUAAAAUUGUCACCUAAAAGAUAUUGGCGGUUUGAACUCUCAUACACGACAUGUUUCAAAAUUUAGAAAAUUAACUAGUAGAGGAAAAAGUACAGACUAGAGGAUCACAUUUCGGAAAUUCUGAAGAUGAUUUUUCGGCCAAUCCAGAUUCGCAGCACACAUUAGAACAAAAUAAUGAUUUGAACACUCUAACAAGAUAUAGCAGUGUUGCGCACUUUAAUAUGCACAAACAUAACUAUACGAAGUAUGUUGUAUACAUUAAAUUUACUAUGUCCAAAUAAUAGGUUAAAGAUGGAAUACGAAUGAGAUUGAUUUCUUUUUUUUCCGCUACAACUCAGUUAGGUUUUGUUCUUUUACAGUGGCGUCCGACCGCAAACAUACAUCAUACCGAUUAUAUACUCAGAUCCAAUUUUAUUCGAACCAGAUAAUAUAGAAUUUGUAAUGCACUAUAGUCCUAAAACCUUAAUUAGUUAGGCUAAAUAAGAAAAAUCCUCUUGUUAACCAUCUGUUUUCACUUCCUCCAUGCUGCAUUUAAAAAUCUAUAACCUUGCGCCCCCCUAAAAAUAAAAAAUAUUCAUAUUCGGUUCCUGCCGUCAGUUUCUAGUUGAGGUUCCAUUUCAUAUCUUAUUUUUGUAAUUCAAAAUAUUUCUGAAUUCUCAUCUACUAUCCACACACCAUGACCGCCUCGCUCUGCCCACUCCCCUUCAUAGCGUAGAUGCAUCCACGCCUGCUCUCUGCCGCCUGGAAUGACAAGAUUGGGGAACAGAAAUAAAGAAAAGUAGGAACAUUUGUUCAUCUUUAUCACACCAAUAUCAUUCUAUAAAUACGUUUUUAUUUUUCGAUAAAAAAAGCAAAGUAUCAUGAUUUUUUUUUAAAAAAAACAAGAAAAACGGCUUUGCUAAAGGUUUCAUAUAAUAGCCAUUUAAUUAAUGCGAGCAACAUUCGCAAACUGAAAAAUGCUAGAAUGCACGGUUAUAAUUAGUGACCGUACGCGGCAUAACAAACCAAUUACAUUAAUCCUUUUAAAAAUAUAUGUCCGCAUCAUGAAUGUAAAGAGUAUUUAUUGUACUUUAUUUUGAAAAGAUGAUAUGAUUGGCUUUUAUGAGACGUGGUGCAAAUGUGACAGUGAGAUUCCUCUUCCAAACAUAAGGCACGCCCUCAGCUCAAACAUUCCAAACUAGGUCCAAACGUUCUUCUUUUUUUAAAAAAAAGUUGAGUUUUGUUUUUAUUUUUUUGAUAAUUAGAUUAAAAUAUUAUAAGAUUUUUAUCAGAUUUUCCUGUGAUCCAUCAAAUUUAAACAGUUGACCAUUCUGCAUUGAACUUAAUAAUUACUAAAAUUCAAGAUAUAUUUAUCAAAUAUAUCAAAUAAAAAUUCAUAUAUUUACAUAGGCGAAGGUACGUAGGACGUAAUGCAUCCCAAAUGGAUUAACCAAGUUCAUCGCAUCGAAACCAAAACGCAUACUUAACAAAAAACGCGUCUUUUAUUUAGUAACUGCCAAAGAUGAAGAACCAUUUCGGUCAGAGAACACCUAAUAUUUUUAAGUAAGAUUCAAAAAACCUCCAUGUGAAUUCGUAGUUUCUCACUGUUGCCUCCCUGUGUUUAAAAUGUAUCAAUUGCUCCCCCGUGUUCUUUUUCUCUUUUUUAUCAUUGCAUUUAUUUUUUAUCUUAAUCAGUCUAAAGUUAAAAUAAAAGUAUAAAAUAAAUAUUUGAUAACUCUAGAUGGAUAUCUGAAGUUUUGUAUAUAAUUUGAUGAAAUAUUAAGAAAAACUACCAAAAAAUAAAAAUGAAACCACAGGGGGCAAUAUUGAUACAUUUUACACCACAGGGAGGUAAGUGAAAAACUACGAAACCAUAGAAGGGAGUUUUUGAAGUUUUUCUUUUAAAAAAAAAAAAUUAUUUAAAUAGACUAAUUUUUUUAAAAAAAUAUUAUUUAUUUAUGUAAUUCAAUGACUAUAAUUGUAAUAGAAUAAAUUUUCUCAUUUAUUGAAUAUUUUUUUAAAAAAAAUUUUUUUUUAUUGUAAAUUUUUGAUCCGUCUGCUGAUCUCCAUCUAUUAUGGUCAGAAUUGAGAGAAAGCUAGAUACACAAGCCAUUGCAUAAGUUACAGAUAUGGUGUGGCUCAGUCGAGUAGGUUAACGGCAAACCCUUAUUUCCACCCAUAGUUGGCCGCACAUACACAAGUUGCAUUGCAUAAAGAGACCAUGUGAUCCAUUUAUAGUACUAACCAAGGCACACUAGUCCACAUAAAUGAAGGACACAUCAUUAUAGAUUUCAAACUUAACAUACUGAUAGAGACACACCGGAAACAAAACAGAAACCCACAAUGUCGAAACAAGCUAGCACUUGAUGCACGCAAAAUCCUUAUUUAUGUAAGAAACGCAAAUAAGUAGGCAAACUAGCAGGUCGAAAAAAUCAUUUGCUGUUCCGACUUAUUACGUAGCUUCAAUUUCAGAAACCCAUCUUAAUAACUUCGGCAUUAGCCCUGAUUGGAAGUAGGAAUAGAGGAGACAUGCGAUUCCACAUACUCCAGAAGACGAUACACAACUCUGCCCAUAACGACGUAUCCACUUCUCCCCCCAUGACUGCCCCCACGAGUCCUUACUAUCUAAUAUUUUUAGUUCCACGGCUAUCAUGCCCGUACCUAUAAUGGUAAUGGCAUGAUUAGAGACUAGUUCACACAGGUCCGGCGCUAAACACAACCCCAUUGUAAAUUGAAAGUUUCACUGGCAUCGAUAAGAGCACUAUGUUGAUUCGACACAGCGCGUACAUAUGCUGCGUCAAUCGUUCCUUCGCACAUAUGAAUAACCAGUAAUGUAAGCUGAAUUAGAACAGCUAUUGGCGUUUGGCAAGUGCCAUUGAGCUAUGCUUGAUAAGGAUAGUUUUUCGUGGUCACACCGUUGUUUAUGAUAUGAUGAAAUCGAGGCCUUGUUCACGAAACCUAGCCGCCUUUGCAACCGCUACUACAGCACAUCGAGGAACUUCUUGCUUCCGAUAAAGAUACUAAGUUACCCCUGUUUUAUCUGUAGAUUCCCUCACCGUCGCAAUUGCACGAAUGACCAGCAAGAACCUAUGCCAAACAAAAGAUACGCGUUAGCAUAACGACGAAGCAAAGUUAUAUCUGAGAUGCAAUGAUAUAACGAAUAUCCUCACAACUCAACAAUAAUAUAAAUGUUUUUGGCAAUACAGACUGCUUUUAACUUUAUUUCAAACGGUUUGUCAAGGCAUAUGGAGUCCUGUUCUUUUUGACUACAACGACUUUGGCUUACUUUAUAUAACUGAUUAUGGCAUAACUCAAUUAAUAGUAAGAGAACUCAGCAAAUAGAGCUAAUUGCAAAUAGAUUGAAUCAAGUCGAAGCCUGUGAACAUUGUCCUUGAAUCCUUAAAUGCGAUGGAUGUGUCCUUUUUAUCACCAUGUAUGUAUUUUUGGAUAGUUAAUUAACACUUAUAUAUACAUUUGAUGGCUAAGUUGAUUUUUUAUUAACUAGAUUCAAUACUUCAUUUCUUUGUACAUUGAUAAUGUGUGAUUAUACAUGUUUAGACACUUUUAAUCAGCCAAAGUAAUGGAAUUAUUGAGUUUUAGUGGGCGGAAAUUUGGUCCUUUUGUCCAGAAAAGGCAGAAGGCAUUCGGUAGCAAGCAUAUUUGAUCUAAGCAACAUGUUAGCAGCAUCUUAUAAAGUUAACUAAGAAUAAUUUUUUUUUCUUUUUUCUAGUUGAAGAAAUGAAGUUGCAUUGACAAUUUAUAGUCUAAAUUAUUUCUUACCACAGGGGUUUUGAUUCUUGACCUCGUUUACGGCACCAUAGUCUCUCCAAUCAAUACUUUGAGGCACCGCGGAGAUGUUUACGUCAUCAAAUGACACCACUGGCUCUCUCUCGAUAUUUAGUGGGAGAGAUACGCCGGUAUAUUGAGCAACAAAUUCGCUUUUUGUCAUAUCGGUAAACUGAUUGAUACCGAGAGUGUACGAAUUUCCGUUGCGACUGUUAAAGGUUUCGAUAUGCUUCACGUUGUUCUUGAAUAUCUGAAACCGGCGCAUCUUCUCGUCGUUGUCCUUGUAAACUCGGCCAUACUCCGCCAUCCAUUCUUCAAACCGCUUCAUCAUGGGAUCACUGGGUUCGUCACGAGAAGCUGCCGAUGGCGAAGCCCACAUCACACAGAGAAACAUGAAAAGAAACACGAGUUGAACUUUGGAAGCCAUGCUUAUGUAGCACUAAAUAUGUAUGAGGAAAUUGGAGAUGGAGCUACAAGAGCUUUUGGUGCUGAGAGUAUGGUGUCAAGAUCGAGUUUAUAUAGAAGUUCAUGCCUUGGAAUGUAGGUGCGAGAAUUAUUGUGUGGGGGCCUACAAGAUGUCACAAAUCGCCAUCAAAUUAAGAUUAAAUAGUUCUGGACCGCUUGCGGCACCACGUCAUGUGGUCACUAGUGUAGUGAUUUGCUUAUUACGUCGGGCAAAUACUAUUGACAUAAAAAUUGGUACAAAAUAAAAUAUCAGUUUAGUAUGAAAAAAUAGUAAAUAUAGUUUAUAUUAUAAACAAACACUUCUAAACAAAAUAAAACUAAAAUGAAAAAAAAUUAAUCAUUCCAAUAAAAUUAUUCAAGCUUGUUAAAAAAAAUCGCAUAUCAUACAAAUGGAUGAUUAAAAUUAUUUUUAACUUGGGAUGUCUCCACCAGAUGGAUGCGAGGCAGAGACUCAUUGUCAGGAGCAGCAAGAGCACUUUUCGACUUAUGCUUUGUUGGAGCUUGUUGGGAACUUUGGAAGGAACGGAAUUCACGGAUCUUUUAGCAACCAACACUCGACGUACGACGAACUAGGAAGGAUUGUUGUUUCCAUCGUAAAGUUCUGGGAAUCUAUUUUGGGGUCCUAAUUGUGAAUCGUUUUGUUUGUUUUACCCUGUUAAUUAGUGGUCCUGUUCUGUUAAUUAGUGGUCCUGUUGUGCUUUCUGAAGUUAGCUCAAGGGGCCUUCUUAGGGAAAGCCAAGCUAGCUCUGCUAUCUUAAGAUGUAUUCUCUGUUUCAAAUAUAGUAUAUUCCUGUUUAAUCAAAAAAAAAAUAUUUUUAUAAUACAAUAAUCAGAUAAAAUAUCAUAUAACAGUUGAUAUGACUAAAAAAAACUCACAAUAACUGACCGUUCCUAGAGCAAGUGGCAAAGGGCUUGGUGAUUGGUACCCGAGGUCCCAAGUUCGAAUCCUAGUUGAUUCACAUUUCCAGCUAAGUUUAUUUCUAAAUGAAAUAAACGAAGCGGGUAGCAUGCUACCUAUCUAAAAAAAAAAAAAAAAAAAAAACUCACAAUUAUACGCAAGACAAAUACUAUAUAUAUAAACAUAUGUAAUUCGGUCUAUCGACAGACUAUUUUUUAGCGGAAAAAAAAAUGAUUCACUUCUUACUAAAAUAAAUAAUGUAAUGAAAAAAACUUUUAAUACUUUUUAUCAUCUAAAAUAGAAAAAAAUAUACUUAUUCAAAAUUUUGUCAACCGAAAGAUAUUACUAUAAAUCUAUAUUUUAAUUCAAAAUUAUUUAAUAUUUUUUUAUCUCUAAAAAUAAAAAAAUUCAUACUAUUCAAAUUUUUGCUACAAUAUCUAAUGUAAAUCUAUAUUUCAAUUCAAAAUUUAAAAUUAAUUUAAAAUUUAAAUUUAAAAUUUGAGAACUAUCAACAUAUUAAAAUAAUUUUAAAUAUUUUUUUUUCCAUAUUAUAGUGAACGAUUAUACUUAAUUACCAUUAGAAAAUAAAGAAGUUACCUUAAUUUAUAUGAUUUUACUCCAACCACUUUCAUCUACUAGCAUGCUCCAGUUCCCAAAUGUGUCUAAAUUAGAAGACAAUCCAAAUAUGAAAGCGACGAUUAGAAGUUGACAACUAAAGUUAAUUUAAUCGUUAAACUUCAAUUUACUCUCCGCUGAUUUUAGCUUAUUUUUUUAAAAUUUGAUUUUUACUGUAGUUCAAAAUUGCCUUAAUUAUCAUAUAAUUUUAUUUUUAUUUUACCGAUAGAAUUUGACAUAAGUUAGCAAAGUAAAUUUUUUUUAAAAAAAAUCAUAAAGUGAUAUCUGCUUACCAAUAAAUUCUUACAAUAAAAUAAAAAUAAUAUUAGUAAAAUAGUUAAGUAUGUAUAACUUUUCAAACCACGUAAAAAGUGAAUUAAAAAAUAUUAAACAACAGUAAAAAAAUUAAAAUUACUCGAUCCCAAUUCAUUCAUUUUCUUCAUCCAAAGAUUCUACAAUCUCAUUCUCUCAACGACAUUCGAGUGCAAAUUAAACAUAUACAUGUUACACCAAAAGUCAAAUCAGGCAUUAUAAUUUUUUUAAUAUAUAAAUUUUUAAAACUUUAUAAAAUUAUAUCAAAUAAAUUAAAUUUUAAUUUCAAAUUUUUUAGAGGAAAAGAUAAUUAGUUACACAUUUUGUUCAUUUUGAGAUUUUUUUUUUCCCCAAGUAAAACCUAAUAAGUGAUGUAGUGCCGGCAUGCAUAUGCUGAUCCUUGAAAAUUUUUAAGUAUCGUUUGGUUUGGAAAUAAGCAAAAAGUGGUUAUUCCAGGAAUAGGUAUAAAUUGAGGUAUAAGUAGGGGUUAUAUCAAUUUUGAGUUUGGAUGAAAAUUAGAUUUUUUUUUUUUUAGAAUAAAAAAAAAGUAUUUGGUUAGGUAAGAUGUAAUAAAAAUUUAAAUGGAUAGUUAUAAAUAAAAAAUAAUGAUGUUAUCAUUUUCUUUAUAUUAAAAUUUGAAAUUUGAAAUUUUAUAUUUAUAUUUUAGAAUAAAUAUAAACUUUUAAAUUUUAAAAUUUCAAAAUCUCAAAUUUACAAUUUUAAAAAUUUAAAAUUUAAAUUUUAAACUUUAAAAUUAAAAUGAAAUUUUAAUUUAAAAAUACAAAAUAUCAAAUUCUAAAUAUAAAAAAUUUAAAAUAUCAAAUUUUAAAAGUUAAAAUUAAACAUGAAUUUUUUUGUGUUUGGGGGAGCACGACGAGGGGGGACAGAGGAGCGAAGCGGAGGGGCGGGGGGUGAGGUGGUGGGUGUAUCUGCGUGUGUUGUGUUUUUAUAUAUGUAGGUGUAUUUUUUUGAUUUGGUUUAUUUAAAUUGUUGCAAUUAUUUUUUAAGUUACGCCUAUGGAUAACAAUACUGCGCCAAUUUAAAAAAAUUCUUUAAUUUGAUGGUCUGGCAGUAUGUCACAUUCUCGAUUGUUCGUAGCGUGUGCUUAUCAAUAUAACGACUACAUUUUAAGGACUAUCGUCUUAGGGUAUAACGGUGAGAAUAUCUCACAACUCAACGAGNNNNNNNNNNNNNNNNNNNNNNNNNCAGACUUUAUCAAAUUUAAUUUUAAUUUAAAAAUUUUAAACUAUUUAUGUGAUGUAUGCGGAUGAUGAAAAUAUUGAUAAAUAUCUAGAGGCAUUUUCAAGAAUUUGAAUAUCAACUAUAUAAAAUUUAUGAGACUCAAGUGAUAUAUAACAGGCAAUGGUAGAAUAAGUAUUUUGUAACUAUCACGAUUAUUUUGGAUUGAGACUAAUCGUUUAACGUGAGCCUUAAUUGACGGUAUAAAUAAUUUAUGAGAUUUUUCUUAUCACUCCUCCUCCUCCGUAUGCGCAACACGUGCUCCGGUAAUAAUUCCAAUACACAACACAUCCUGCAGUAACUCUUGUUACGGAGUGAAGGUUUGUCCGCCCCCUCAUUCUGAUUGCAUCUGUCAACGAAAAGGACGAACAAAUGCUUUCUAAUAAUAUAGGUACCUGCCGUUAUCUGUCCUAAAUAAAGGUUUUAUAGCUUUGCUUGCGAAAAUGUUUACUAUAUCAUACUUACAUCGCAUCACAAUAAUAAAUAUAUUAUAUAAUUUUUAAUAUAUAAUAAAAUUUUUUUAUAUUAUUAUAAUAAAUAAAUUUAAAAAAUUCUUAAUUUGAUUGUGGAGAUGUCACUUAUCAAUAUAACGGAUACAUUUAAGACUAUGUUCGGUUAGGGGAUAAGGUGGAAUUUAUUCACCCUCAUCCCCAAACACAAAAAAAUUCUUUUAAUUUUACUUUAAAAUUUGAUAUUUUAAUUUUUAUAUUUAGAAUUUGAUAUUUGUAUUUUAAUUAAAAUUUCAUUUUAAUUUUAAAGUUUAAAAAUUUAAAUUUUAAAUUUUAAAUUGUAAAUUUGAGAUUUUGAAAUUUUAAAAUUUAAAAGUUUAUAUUUAUUCUAAAUAUAAAUAUAAAAUUCAAAUUUCAAUUUAAUAUAAAGAAAAUGAUAACAUCAUUAUUUUAUUAUACUAUACCAUUUAAUUUUAUUACAUCAUACUAACCAAUACUUUUUUUUUAUUCUAAAAAAAAAAAAAUCUAAUUUUUCAUGCAAACCAAAAUAUGAUAUACCCCUUACUUAUACCUCAAUUAUAGCUAUUCUCUGGAAUAACAUUUUGAUUAUUUCCAAAGCAAACGAUACUAAAAAUUUUCAAGAUCAGCAUAAUGCAUGCCGCACUACACUUAUUAGUUUACUUUGGGGAAAAAAAAAAUCUCAAAAUGAACAAAAAUUUAACUAAUUAUUUUCCUAAAAAUUAUGAAAUUAAAAUUUAAUUUUAUUUGAUAUAAUUUAUACCAGUUUAAAAAUUAUAUAUUUAAAAAAUUAUAAUGCCUGAUUUGACUUUGGUGUAACAUGUAUAGUUGUAUAAUUUGCACUCGAAAUGUCGUUGAGAGAAUGAGAUGUAAAUCUUUGGAUAAGAAAAGAAAUGAUUGGAUCGGUUAAUUUAAUUUUUACUGUUGUUUAAUAUUUUUAAAUUCAUUUUACGUGUUGAAAAGAUAUACAACUUAACAUAUUACUAAUAUUAUUUUUAUUUUUAUGUAGGAAUUAUUGUUAAGCAUGCUACACUUAUGAUUUUUUUUAAAAAAAUUACUUUCUAACUUAUGUAAUUCUAUGGGUAAAAUAAAAAUAAAAAUUAUAUAAUUAAGUGCAAACUUUCGAACUGCAGAAAAAACAAGGAACAAUCUACUAAAUCAGGGAGAGUAAAUUGAAGUUAACGAUAAAUAACUUUAGUUGCUAACUUCUAACUCGGCUUUCAUAUUUUUGGAUUUGUCUUCUAAUUUAGACACAUUGGGGAACUGCGAGCAAUGCUAGUAGAUGAAAGUGGUUGGAGUAAAAUCAUAUAAAUUAAGGUACAACUUCUUUAUUCUAAUGGAUAUAAGUAUCGUUCACUAAUAUGGAAAAAAAAUAAUUUUAAAUAUUUUAAUAUGUUGAUAGUCCAAAAUUUAAAUUUAAUGUUAAUUUUAAAGUUUUGAAUGGAAAAUAUAGAUUUACAUUAGAUAUUGUAAAAAACAUUUGAAUAAGUAUGAAUUUUUUUAUUUUAUAGAUAAAAAAUAUAAUAUUUGAUUAAAAAUAGAUAUUAUAGUCAAUAUCAAUUCGGUUGACAAAAUUUGAGAUAAGUAUAUUUUUUCUAUUAAGAUAAAAAGAUAUAUAAAAGUUUGUUUCAUUUACAUUAUUCAUUUACGUAAGGAAGUAAAUCAUUUUUUUUCCUGUAAAAAAUACGGUCUGUGAUAAAUUAGAAAUAUGUUGUAUCUUGCGUAUAUAUAAUGUAGUUUUUUUUUUUUUUUUUUGAUAGGUAAGCAUGCUACCAUCGCUCGUUAUUCAUUAGAAAUAAACUUAGCGGAAAUGUGAAUCAACUAGUCGAACUUGGGACCUCGGUACAAUCAUCCCAAGCCCUUUGCCACUUGCUCUAGGAACGGUCAUUAUUGUGAGUUUCUUUUAGUCAUAUCAACUGUUAUAUACUAUAUUUUAUCUGAUUAUUGUAUUAUAAAAAUAUUUUUUUUUGAUUAAAACAGGAAUAUAUAUAUUUGAAACAGAGAUACAUCUUAAGAUAGCAGAGCUAGCCUUGCUUCCCUAAGAAGUCCCUUGGACUAACUUCAAGACAACAUGACCACUAAUUUAUAUUAAUCGAACAGGACCACAUUAACAGGGUAAAACAAACAAAAACGAUUCACAAAUUAGGACCCAAAAUAGAAUUCCCAGAACUUAGAUGAAACAAACAAUCUUCCUGAUUCGUCGUAGCGAUGUUGUUUCUAAAGAUCUUAUUCCGUCUCAAAGUUCCCAAACAAGCUCCAACAAGAGCAUAAGUCGAAAAGUCGCAUCUUCUGCCCUGACAAUGAGUUCUCUGCUCGAUCCAUCUUGUGGUAGACAUACUCAGUUAAAUAAUUUUAAAUCAUCCAUUUGUGAAUCGAAGCGAUUUUAAUCAAUUUAAAUUUUAUUGGACAUAUAUUUUUUUCAUUUGUUUUAUUUGUUUAGUAAGGUUUGUUUAUAAAUUAAAUAUAUUACUAUUUUUUCAUACUAAAAACUGAUAUUUAUUUUUACAAUUUUUAAUGUCAAUAUAAUUGCCCGACGUAAUAAAGCAAAUCACUACACUAGUGACCACAUGCGUCGGGUGCCGCAAGCGGUCCAAACUGAUUUAACUAAGUUUUGAUGCGAUUGGUGACAUCUUGGUAGCCCCACACAAUAAUUCUCGCACCUACUUCCAAGGCCAUGAUACUUCUAUAGUAAACUCGAUCUGACACAUACUCUCAGCACCAAAAGUCUUGUAGCUCCAUCUCAAUGUUCACCAAUACAUAUUAGUUGCUACAUAAGCAUUGGCUCUCCAAAGUUCAACUCGUUGUUCUUUUCAUGUUUCUCUGUGUGAUUGGGCUUCGCCAUUUUCGUCAGCUCUCGGACUGAACCCUAGUUGUAUUCUCCAUAUGAUUGUAACGGUUAUAAUUUGAGAUAUGGAUGGCGAGUAUUGGCGAGUUUACAAGGACAACGACGAGAAGAUUGCUCGCGUUUCAGAUAUUUCAGUAACAAGCGUGGAAGCAUUAUCGAAACCUUUACACAAGUUCGCAACAGGAAUUCGGUACACUCUCGGUUCAAUCAGUUUACCGAUAUGACAAUAAAGCGAACUUUGUUGCUCAAAUAUUAACUGGCUAUCUCUCCCACUAAAUAUGAGAGGAGAGCUAGUUGUGUCAUUUGAUGGACGUAACACAUCUCCGCGGGUGCCUCAAAGUAAUUUGAUUGAGAGAGACUAUUGGUGCCUAAACGAGGUCAAGAAUCAAAACCCCUGCUGGUAAGAAAUAAUUUAGACUAAUAAUUUCUGCAACUUCAUUUCUUAACAGAAAAAAGAAAAAAAAUUAUUCUUAGUAACUGUUAUAAGAUCUGCUAACAUGUUGCUUAGUUUUUUAUUCUUCCCGAAUGGCCCCUUCUGCUUUCUGGACAAAAGGACCAAAUCCGCCCACUAAUUUUCUGCUGAUAAAAGUUCUAAACAGUAUAAUCAUUUUUAUUUCAAUGUACAAAGAAAUGAAGUAUUGAAUCUAGUUAAUAAAAAUCAUCUUAAGCCAUCAAAUGUUAUAUAAGGUAAUUCACUAUCCAAAAAAUACAUUUUGGUGAUACAAAAGGACACUUUUUAUCCAUCGCUUUUAAGUGAUUCAAGACAUAUGUCCUACUUCGACUUGAUCAAUCUAUUUGCAAAUUAGCUUAUGCUGUGUUUUUUACUAUUAAUUAAAGUUAUCAUUUAAUCAUACCUACUAAAGUAAGCAAAGUACGUGUUAGUUCAAAAAACAGGACAUCAAUGCUGAAACCGUUUGAAAACAUUUUUUAUAUCAAGCAGCUCUGUACUAAAUUUUAAUUAUGUUAGUUAUUUUAUAUUCAUAGCAACUCAGAUAUAACUUUGCUACUUUUUUUACGCGUAUCUUUGUUUUAGGCAUAGGUUCUGCUGGGUCAUCGCUGCAAUUGCGACGGUCGCGAUUGGGAUAUUCUACAAGAAAAACAGGUAUUAGUAUCUUUAUCGGAGCAAGAAGUCUCGAUUGUGCUGUUUUUAUUUUGGCGUGUGGUAUACUAUGCUUAGCUGUGUAUUCAUAGUUCUGAAUCAUCUUUCACAGAUCUGAAUUUAAAUUUUAAAUUUGAAUUCAAAUUUUGAACUUAAAAUUGUAAGUCAAUUUUAAAUCUAAAUUAAAUUUGAAAUUCAAAUUCAAAUUUAUAUUUUGAAUUUGAAUUUCAAAAUAAAACUUUGAAAUUAAAUAUAAAACUAAUUAAAAAUCUAAAUUCACUACAUGCAAGAUAAUUAAAUUAUGGGGACAUAUGUUUGGAAUAUUUUUAUAUAAGUGCCCUAUUUAUGUCAAAACUUUAAAAAUAAUCUAUUAAUGCCUAAAUAUAAAGCCCAAUCCAUUCUCCGGUAAACUAAGAUUAUCGGACCAAUUUUCAUAUUGUAAUGAAUCGAUUGUAACCUAAUUCUUAUAGUCCAUUAAAAAAUAAAAAAGUGAAUAUUUAAAUGAUUUUACAGUAGUUCUUAAGUUAGAAGACGACCCAAAAUAUGCAAUGGCGGAGUUCGGAGCUGGUAACUAAAGUUAAUUUAAUAUGUUAACUUCAAUUUACCCCGUGAUUAAGUAGAUUUUUUCCCUUUUUCCUCCGAUGCUUCAAAAAUUCGCCGACAGAACCCAACGUCAGUUACCAAAGUGAAUUUUUUUAAAAAACUUAUAGCAUACUAUGCUCUUUAACAAUAAAUUCUUACAAUAAAAUAAAAAUAAAAUUAUAGAAUACUGAAGUAUAACUCUUUAAGCCAUUGAAUGACAAAAAAAAUAUAUAUAUAUAUAUAUUAAACCACAAUGAGAAAAAUUGAAAAUUAUCCUACUUUUUAGUUCAUCAUACUAACUCCAUACCUACAAGCUCAUGUAUUACACCAAAAAUCAAACCAUCAUGUAUUAUAUAUUUUUUUAAUAUAAAAAUCUUUUAAACUCUAUAAAAUUAUAUUACAUUAAAUUAAAUUUUAAUUUAAAAUUUUUGGGAGGAAAAGAUGCAGUUUUCAGUUUCGUUCAUUUUACGAUUUUCUUCUCUUUUUUUCCUUUUUGAAGUAAAACGUAGAGACUUGGUGUAUCCUAAUGUUCAUGCGAUGAAAUCAUUAAUUUCUCUCUUGUCCAUUAAUUUUUUGAGAGAAAGGUACCUGCUUUAUUCAUUAAAGAAAAAAUUAAACUACACGAUUAAGAUAAAGGAAUCUCCGAAGUAGACCGAAAAAAUGAAAAAAAAAAUAAUUAAAUUUACAAAAACAUAUAACAAAAAAAAAUUUAAAAAAAAGGAUAUGCUCGUUUAAACACUCUAUUCUUCUCCCACUGAAGCAUCAAACAUCUGAUCGAUUUGACAGCUAGUAAAGAAUUAGUAUUAGCCAAUCUAUAAAUAACGGUGUUUCUUACUGUUCAGAUAACUCACCAAUUUUUUUUUUUGAAAAAGAUAACUCACCAAUUGACUGUGAGUUUUGUAAAUCUGUUUCUAACAUUCUGAGCACUAUCCCUUCCCAUGCUUCCACUUAUCCCAUACUAACCUCUCUUGUCCUUUGCUGGAUCGGAAAGUUGCAAUCAAGUUUGUCCGUUUCUCUCCCUGUUGGAGAGCAGUCAGAUUUUUUUUUUUUGGUGCACCCGGUGCACUAGUUUUGUUUUAAAAUUUUAUUUUUUGUUUUUUAAUUAUAAUUUAAUAAUAUAUCUCAUGAUUUUAAAAAUAUAUGUAAAAUAAUUUAGAAUUUAGGAUUUAAAAUUCUUUUGCAUAUAUUUUUUAAAUAUCAUAAAAUAUAUAUCUGUUAUAUGAAAUUAAAAUUAAGAUUAAAAUUAAAAUUUUAAAGUAAAAAAUGAUGCACCGGUGCACCGAAAAAAACCCGCUGUGUCCCGAGAGGCAGAGCAGUCGGGACGGUGGCCCGCGUGGCUCGGGUGCCAUGCGGCGCCCAUCCAGUGUCCUCAAAAAAAAAGGAGAAUUAAUGGGUGGAGCCCAACAAGUUGGUACAAAUCGCCAUUAAAUUAAGAUUAAAUAGUUCGGGACCGCUUGCGACACCAUGUCAUGUGGUUAUGAGCUAAUCACAAAAAUAUUUAAGUUUCUCUACUUGUCUCAUAUUUAAAUUUUAUAAUUUUUUUUAUAGGACAUACAAUAACGAAAUAGAUCUGGACCCUGUUAAAGAUAAAAAUAUAUAAACAUUAUUCUCUAAAAGUUUAAGCUUUUAGUAUCGUUUGGUUCGAGGAUAAGCAAAAAGUGACUAUUCCAGGGAUAGGUAUAAAUUGAGGUAUAAGCGGGGAUUAGAUCAAUUUUGCGUUUGGAUGAAAAUUGGAUUAUUUCUGAAAAUAAAUAUAAAUAAUAUGUAUUAAUAUAGUACAAUUAAUAAUUUUAUAAUAAAAAUAAUGUAUUAUAAUAUAUAACAUAUUAUAUUUAUAUAAUUAGUUUUAAUUCAAUUUAUAAUUUUAAUUAAAUUUGAAAUUAAGCAUUAGAAUAGUGCUAUUCCACCAAAAUGGUGGAAUAGCAAAUCCCUUGCUAUUCCGGAAUAACCGGAAAUAGCAAGGUUUGACCGGGAUAAAAUAUCCCGGCCAAAUUUCAUCCCAUUUGGCGGAAUAGCGGGGAUAACUUUUGUUAUCCCCGCUUAUCCCCCAACCAAACGGGGCCUUAAGGAAUUCACAUUGUGAUUGUUUGAUUGAUGGAUGGCCAUUACAUUGAAAUUGGUCUAUGCACUCUGUUUGGUUAAAACUAUUUGAGUAGUUCUCAUCAAGAAUCCCUACACAUUUUUUUUAUUAUAUUCAUUUCCUACUUUUAUUCUAUCUCUCCACACACACACACACACACACACACACACACACACCCCCUUCCCACCACCCCCUCCAAAUUUGGCUGAUAUUAAUGAAAAGGAAUUAUAACUAGUUGAGAGGAGAUUUUCGGCACUUUAGAAAAUAAGUGUGUAUGUUUGCUCUACCGUGUUAAUUUACUGAAAUUACUGUCAUUGUACAGGGUUAUGUGUAAUUCCAGUUGUAAGAACCUUUAGAACACAUCAACUUGUGUCAUACGUUGUUACGCCUUUUUGACAAAACGUAGGAAUAUUAUUUGAGUAGAGGUAUUUGAAGAAGUUGCAAGAUGUGUUUGUUUAGAGUAUUGUAGUUCCAUGGAUAGGAAAUAAGGAUAGUUUAUCCACUAUAAGAGGGCAAAGGGAAUUAUCUAGGCUAAUGGUUCCUUAUGAGAGUAGCAUAACUCCAUUCUAGCGUACAGUUUGAUAUCUCCUACUUAGUUCUAGUUGGGAAUUUAUCAAACUCAAAAGUACUUAACAGGAUAGCAGGGAUAUUGCCAUUAUCUUUCCAACUUGCAAAUGCUGAAUGUAAAUAUACUUGGCAUGGAGUUGAACAAAAAAACUUUUAAGUUAGACCAGCUUUUUAGGGAGCUCUUUUAGUCUUCGCACUAUGCUAGGAGCUCUAGAUUUUUUUUCUGUUUGCUAAACGUCUGACUUUUGCUUCUUGAGUAGAAUAACUUUUUUAGAAGUCAAACCAAUUAGGUAGUAUAUACUUUUGCAUAUGCUAACAAAAGUAUGUAUUCGAAAAAUAUUUGCUGAGCUAACCUGUGACAUUAGGAUGCUAGCACAAGUAUCACUGCUGUAUAUGCUGNCUAAUUCCUACUUAAUUACCAUUAGAAAAUAAAGAAGUGUACCUUAAUUUAUAUGAUUUUACUCCAACCACUUUUCAUCUACUAGCAUGCUCCAGUUCCCAAAUGUGUCCUGAAUUAGAAGACAAUCCAAAAUAUGAAGAGCCCGAGUUCGUUUCUUCAAAAAAUUUUCGGAAUUUUUGUAGAUUUAUUUGCGAAUUUUUCGGACAAAAAAAAUGGCUUAAUCUAAUUUAUUCUUUUUAUUUUUUUGGAAAAAUACGUAAACAGCCGAUUAAUUCGUUUCUUCAAAAAUUCGCGAAUUAUUCGCGAAUUUACUAUCUAAGCCUAUCGCUCUCAAAAACAAAAGAAAAAAAAAGAAUUUUUAUCAGAGCAUGUGUUGCACAACGGGCGGAGGAGUGAUAAGAAAAAUCUCAUAAAUUAUUAAUACUGAUAGUUACAAAUAUCUUUAUUAAAUUAUUAUAAAUAUUACAAAUAUCUUUAUUAAAGCGAUUAGUCUCUAUCCAAAAUAAUCGUGAUAGUUACAAAAUACUUAUUUUAUUAUUGCCUAUUAUAUAUCAUUUGUGUCGCUUAAAUAUUCUAUAGCUGAUAUUCAAAAUUUUUCAAAAAUGCCCUCUAGAUAUUUUAUCAAUAAUUUUCAUCAUCACGCAUACAUCACAUAAAUAAUUUAAAUUUUAAAAUUUAAAAUUAAAAGUAAAAAUUUAAAUUUAAAUUUAAAAUUUGAUAAAGAUCUGAAUUCAAAUUUUAAAUUGAAUUCAAAUUUUGAACUUAAAAUUGCAAGUCAAUUUUAAAUAUAAAUUUAAAUUUGAAAUUCAAAUUCAAAUUUAUAUUUUGAAUUUGAAUUUCAAAAUAAAACUUUGAAAUUAAAAAUAAAACUAAUUCAAAAUCUAGAUUGAAAGUAAAAUUAGUAUAAAAUCUUAAUUCGAUUUCAAUUGAAUUUGAAUUAUAUUCGAAUCCAAAAUCAAAAUUUAAAUUUUAAAUUUAUAAUUAAAAUUAGAUUAAAUUAAUAUUACAAUUCAAUAUUAUAAUGUAAAUUUGAGUGAGUCUAAGAUCGCAGUUUAAAUUGAAAAUUGAAUUAAAAAAUUCUAAUUAUAAAUUUUGGAAAUAUUUAGAGAUAAAAUGAUAUUUUAAAAUUUAAGUAGCAUUAAACUAGCUUCCAACUAAGAUUAGGAUAACACUCCGUGACGUGAGUUUACAUAAGAAAUAUUUAUGAUAUAACUCAUUCUAUUGGAAGAGCGUAUAUGAUAUUUUAAUAUUUUUAGAGGUGCCUGUGAUAGUUUAAGAUUUUGAAAAAUAGUUAUGAAACUGUCCCUGCAUUUCAAAAUUUGGAAAACUGAUCUCCCUGACUUGCGGAUUUCAUGUAGUACAAUUUUUUGACGGUGUUCUUAAUGCAAGUAACAAAUUAUAAGCAACUUUAAAGGAAAAAAAGUUACAUAUUUUUAGGGAUCGUAUUUUGGAAAUUUGAGGAUGAGUUUUUAGUUGUCCAGGUUUCACGCUUUGAUAAAUAAUAUGAUCAGAAGAAUCAUAAAUGGCGAUAGCUUACGUUUACCUACUUUUAUUAGAUAUAUAGUUUAAUAUAUUCUUUUUCCGCAUAAAAUUACUAAUUAAAUAAAACCAAUUGAUGCUCAAACUCUCUCUUCCUAUGGAAUAAAAAUAAAACAUAAAAAAGGAUAAAUUACGCUUUUGGUCCUCAAACUAUAAGAUAUAUGACACUUUAGUCUUCAAACUUUAAUGUGUUAUAAUAACUUAUGGCUCAAAGUAUGAGACACGUGACACUUUAGUCCUUAAAUUUUAAUUAGUUGUAAUUUCUGACUUACACUAAAGUUAAUUAAUUUAUUUAUUUCUACGAAAUCGAUCGGUUUUGUUCAAUCAGUAAUUUUAUUCGAUGUUAAACUAUAUAACAAAUUUUAUAAUGUCUAAUUGUUAAAAUUAAAAAUCGACCAAUCAUAUUUUAAAUAUUAAAAAAAUUAUAGAUGCAAAAUUGAUCUUUGAUCGGAUUGUAAUAUAAUAUUAAACUUUUAUAAUAAAAUCGUAUAAAAUUUGUCUAAACUAUAAACCAUUCUGAAUCAUCUAUUCAACCUUUUAAAAUUUUAUUCUUAUUAUCGAACUAUUCGAUACGUUAGAUUUUAAAAUUUAUAUAUAAAAGGUUUAUAUAUUUUAAAUUUUAUAAUAAAAGCCCGCCACGCCUCUCUCCCCCGGCCCCGCCCCAGCGUCUGCGACGUGGCUCAUAAGAGACAAUUGAAAUUAUUUCGGGGACCAUCCGAGUUAUUUUGCAGCCAAGGUUGGACGUGGAUUAAUGCGGCGAUAACUCAAAUUACCAUUACCAUACUAUAAAUCCGAGCAAGAAAUGUAUGGAACCCCCUGAACUAUAUGCCACUAUGAAAUAGCGCCUUCAAUCUACUUUUGUUUUUUCCCAUUUCGUGUUGAGUGAUUUUGGUGACUCACAGUAAUUAUGAUAAUUUUAUCAUAUUUAAUUUAUUUAGUUUACAUACUACGUACAAUUGGCAGUUUGUGCAACAAUUAAUCUAUUCAGCUUAUUUUAUUCAGCUUGUUUUAUUAUACUAUAUAUGUUGAGUAUCACAACGAUGAUCUUCUAGCUUAUUUUCACGAAACUUUGCAUCGGAAUUUAAUAAUCGUUUUAAAUAUUUUUUAACUUCUUAGAUUACGGUGGUAUUAAAGUGCAUUACCAUAUAUUUUUUUUUUGAGAAAAAAAUUUUAUNCAUUCCGUGCGUCUGUGCUAGCAGUUCUUGGCAUGACUCCAUGCCACUCCAUAAAUCCUUGCUUUUGUUGUUUACAAGGCUAAACUUCAAAAUCGGCACUGUGGUAUAGUGCAUUUUCGCGUUGGUGCACUAUGGAUUCUUUUCUAUCACAUAGGUGCCCUGAGUUUGGUAUUGAAAUUAUUCCUCAAGGACCUUUUUUCUAGCCCUGUUGGUAUUUGUGUGUGUUUCCAGUUCAAAUCGUUGUUGGCUCGGUUUUUUUAAGUCUAAACUCAACCGAGAACCCGAAUGCAAGCCCAUCUUAUAAGGGGUUUCUGAUUAAGUUUGAAUCAGAACACGACCUAAGCCCUGACCUAACACGACCCAACCUGUUUAUAUAUAUAUAUAUAUAUAUAUAUAUAUAUAUAUAUAUAUAUAUAUAUAUUCCAGUCAAUCUAUUUCUAGCAUACUGAGCACUAAUCCCUUCCGAUGCAUCCACUUAUCCCAUGCCAACCUUUCUUGUCCUUUGUUGGAUCGGAGAGUUGCAAUCAAGAGUGGGACAACUUUUCACUCCGUCCGCAAGAGUUGUUGUCGCUGCGCUUGCACCUCAUUUAUUGUUGUUGUAUGAUUGAAAUUAUUUAGGGCAUGUGUGGCACAACAUGAAUAAGAAUAAGAGUUUAUGCACAUAAAUUUAUAUAUAUAUAUAUAUAUAUAUAGAGUCCGGCUACUAUACUCUUAUGAGUAUGAUUGUCCUCGUACUUAUAAGUUGUUUUCGAUGAUAGAGCUUCCGAAUCGACGAUCCAUACUGUUAAAUAUUAUUUAGAGCAUUUAAAACGUAUAGAAAUUAAAUUUUAUAAUUUUUCGAUAUCAUUUACCUUACAAUCAAAAGGUCACAAAAUUGACAAUUUUUAACGGCCGGUAUGAAAUAUUUGUUAGUUAAACAGUAUAAAAGAAUCAAAAUAAGUUGAUUUUUUGAUAGAAAAUUCUAUUCAGUAUAUAGAUAAAGAUCAAUAGCUCCGAUCUUAAAUUGAAGGAUCCGAUCAUAAAUUUUUAAGACGUCGUUCGAUUUUGACAAUUCAUUUUAUACCCGCUUGAUGAACUUUAUUAUGAUUUCAAAAAAUUACGAAAUUUAUUUUCUAGAAAUUUUAAUAAACUAUAUUUAACGGAAUGGAUCGUCGAUUUGGAAGCUACAUCAUUGAAAACAACUUAUGAGUAUGUACGAAGUGUUCUAUACUCAUAAGAGUAUAGUAGCCCUAACAUAUAUAUAUAUAUAUAUAUAUAUAUAUAUAUAUAUAUAUAUAUAUAUAUAUAUAUAAAACUAGGCUGGUAUACUAUCGGUAGCACGGAGGCUGAUAUAUAUAUAUAUAAAAUAGAGCUUCUACAUUUUUAAAAGUACCAAGUUAUUGGUACUUAUAUAUUUUUUGCCAUUGAAAUAAGAGAUAUACGGUUAGAAUGAUGUGGGACCAUUAAAAUUGAGUGGUGGUUGGUUCGGAUGAAAAUAAUCAAAUGUAUAGAUCUAAUAGUAAAAAAUUUACAAGUAUCAAGUGUUUGAUACUUUUAAUGUACCAUAUAUGCAGAUUUCUGAGACGGUAAAAAUUUUGCUUUUGUCUAAAUAAAUGAAAGAUGGAAUGGUUAAUUUGAUUUGAAAUUUUGUUUUUCUCCCGUUCAACUCGUUACGUUCUACUGGUUACAUUCUAUAUAUUUGUAGUGGCGUUGAACCACACCGUACAUGUGAGUAAUUAAGAUACAACCUUAUUUUCUAUAGAUAUCUGAGAUUUGGGUAAAUAGCUCUACAUGUCUCUAAACUUAAAUUAGUUUUUAAACUUGUAAAUUUGGUAUAUAUUUAAGACCGGACUGUUUGAAUUAUAUCAUUCUAGUCCUUAUUCUGAAUAAAAAAAAACAAAAAGCGGUAAACUAUAGUAAAACCUUCCAGUACUGCAUGUAUCAGUUAACACCCUCAAUUUAAUUUUAAAUAUGUUGAAUGGGGAAAUUAAUUGCACUACUAAUUAAUUUCCAAACUUCUAUUUUAGUCCUCAAUUUUUAAGUUUCACAAUAUUUGGGACUCAUUGAAUGUUUCAUUCUAGCACUUAGUUAAAAAACUAAAAAAUAAAAAAAUAUAAGAGAGAAAGAGAAAAGCUAAAUUUGUAGAAAACCUCGCCCCUUUCAUAUGUUAGAUUUUAUACUUUAUUUUCUUCAAAUUAUCAGGCCAAAUCAUUCUGUACCGACUAAGAUUUGAUAUUAGAACCACUCACCCAAUCAUAAAAUAAGAAGCGAAAAAAGCUCUAUUAUCGUGUUAAAGAACUAGAAUAUAAUCUAAAAACUCAAACGGAGUGGUAAAAAUAACCUUCACAUUAUGUAUACUAUUUUAUUUUUAUCUAAAAAGAAUCUAAACACAAGUACUCUAAUAAUAUAAUUUUGUAUUUUGUAUUUCAAUUAUAUGCACUUUCUCUAUAUAUUGACCCUCACAUUACCCCAUAGAUAUUCAAAACAAAUAAAUCUACAAAAAUAUUAUUUUUGAGACAUUUUCCUAUCAUAAUGUUGUACUAGUGUAGAGACCCGCGCGAUACAGCGGGUAGAUAAUAGAAUCAAAACUUAAAAAUUUUAAUAAAAUUUAUAUUUAUAGUUUAUUAAAUUCAACUAUUAAAAAAAUAAAAUUAUAGCUUAUAACCCACACAUUGAUAAAAUAUUAAUAUGAUGCAUGUAAUUAAAUGUUGCACUUUACAUGUAAUUAGAGAAGUGGAGAGGUGAAGAGUUGGACGUUGAGAAGAGAAAAUAAUUUGAUUUAAAAUUGGGCUAUGAGAAUAAAGAAUAACAUAUGGCAAAAAAAAAAUUUUUAUGGUACAUGCAAAAGAGUUACAAAAAAGAGGGCUGAGAGAUUAAUGGAGAAGAGAAGUUGAUUAAAGUUAUAAAUCUCACUCGAUGAUAGAAUAUUAAUAUGGUGCAUAUAAUUAAAUCUUGUUACUUACAUGUAAUUAGAGGAGUGGAAAGGUAAAGAAUUGGGCGUUGAGAAAAGGAGAAGAUGAUUUAAUUUAAAGUUGAGUUAUGAAAACGAAAGCUAACAUGCCACGUGGCAAAAAAAAAUACAAAACUGUAACUUCAUAAAGAUUUAUUUAUAGAUUUAUAGAUGUGCACGUGCGUGACUUUUCAAAUUGUGUUGGACCAUCCCAAUUAUUUUGCAAACAACGUAUUCAAUGCGGUGACAACUCAAAUUUAAUUAUUGGAGCAAGAAAAUGUAUGGAAACCCCUAAACUAUAAGCGACUUUGAAAUAGCUCCUUUAAUCUGGUUUAAUUCUAUCGACUGUUUCUAGAGCAAAUGGUCGGUAUCCGAGACUCAAGUUCGAAUUCUAGUUGAUUCACAUUUCUAGCUAAGUUUAUUUCAAAAUGAAAUAAACGAAGCGGGUAACAUGCUAUCUUUCUCUCAAAAAAAAAAAAAAAAAUCUGGUUUAAUUCUCCCUCGCUGCCAUAUUUUAUAUUAGCUUAUGGUGUUGAGUCAAUGCUUUGAGGUGUCGCUAAUAUGUUUGUAUUCUCUCUUAAAUACGUAAUUAAUGCAAGAGAUAAACUACACCCCACUCAAGUUUUUUUUUUCCAUUCUAAUUAGCUGUCAAAGAUUAAUUAAAUAUAUGGACAGUUGAAAGAAACAUUUCUCUGCUUUUCUAUUUUUUCUAAAUCUCUUACAUUUUCUCUUAUAGAUAUACGCAUGUUACGAUAGUCUUUAUAGUUCCAGUUCUAUCACUGUAACAAAAUAUAUUUUAAAUAAUAUUUUUUAGACAACGCUCUAUUAUAAUAUCUUCAAUAUUUGGUAUAUAUCAACAGUAUGACUAAAUAUUGUUAAUAAAUAUAUUUUUAUUAAAAUACUGAUAAAUUUUUCGACGCUAUAUUAAAGCGUCUGUAUAUAUAUCCCAACAUAUUUACUUAACGACUCUUUAUUCGAUAUUUUUACAGGUGUCGAGAUUAUUCUUACUGAUGCUUUAAAAACGAUCUCGAAUUUUUGUAAGUAGUAUUUCGUGAUGGACUAUUGAUGCAUAUAAAAAAAAAUUAUGUGGUUUGAUACUUUAGUUUAAAUCUAUAGAUGAAGAUGGAGCGAAAAUUUUAUUAUAGCCAAAAGUGCAGAAGAUAAGAUUUAUGCCCAUUGUUCACCCUUAUCUUGACCACAUGUUGCGGUCUAGGUUCUGGGGUGAAGAAGAUCUGCAUUAUUGCGCUUAUGUAUGUACUAUUUUCUUGACAAUUUGGGCAAUAGAAUUAAGCUCGUAUGUUUUUAAUAGUGUAAGUUAUUGAUGUUUGUAAAUUUUCGAUCUUUGAGUUAAGGGAUGUGCGGUUUGAAUGAAAAUAAUCUUCUUAGGUUGAUUGGAUAGUUGGUUGAAUAGUAUAUAUGCUCUAACGAGUAAAAAUAGUUAAAAGGAUAAAUCUAACGGCAGAAAACUUAUAAGCACUAAGUACUUGCUACUUUUGAAAACAUCAUAGUCGGACUCUCGAGCAAUAUUAGUUUUUAUAAACCGAUGAAAAAUAGAUUUAAGUAAUUGAUACCGUAAAUUUGAAAUUGUAGAUGUCGUGUAGCUUUUCCAGUUUAUAUAGUUUGCUCAGUAUAUAUUUAUCGUUUAGUUUAUGAAUUCCAUUUUUGUCUACUUCAAUAUCAAUCGAUUAUCAUAUUAUUCAUAAAUAAAAAUGGUGAAUAAAAAAGUGAAAUUGUAUCGUGCAAUUUGUGAAUAUAUAUUUUUAAUUUACCUUCUUUAAAUUAGUAUAAUUAUUUUAUUUAAUAUUUGUACAAUUUAAUUACUUUCAAUUAAAUAUAUUUUGUUUGCUAUGCAUUAAUUUUACUGCUUUAUGAAAUUUUAAAGGUAAAAAUAUAUGGUUUAAUAAAAAAGGAUUGAUGAUUUGCAAUGGGCAAGGUAGAAAUAAUUUUAAAAGAGUUGUCACUAAUCUUAAUAUUUUGAAUAAUUUUUUUAAAAUUAGGUAAAUAUAUUUUUUUGGCAUUAUUAUUUUAGAAACGCUUCUAUGUAUAUUAUGUGACUGAGGAUCAGAAGGAAAAAUUUUAGAAUGCAACUGGUAUAUUGGUGACGUGGCGUAACAAACUAAUCAAAUAUCUGGUAUAUUGGUGACGUGGCGUAACAAACUAAUCAAAUAUCUCCUUUUAGAAGUAUAUAUGUUCCAUCAUGAUUGUAAAAAAAUAUCGAUUAGAAGAGGGUACGUAGUUUCGGGACCACCUCCAUAUUGGUUAUAAGAUUGGAAUUAUUGGCACAUGCACGUGUUACGUGUACGUAGCUCGAUCGGAAUAUAUAUAUAUAUAUAUAGAACAAUAAUACAUAAUUAGCAGUAUGGCACUAUUAGGUAAUAAAUAAUAUGAAGUAACGACGAAAUUAAGCGUGCUUAUAUGGAUAUGCUUCAGCAUUAAUUUUUCAAAUGGGACCGCAAAUUAUGAUGCAUGUAUUAUCUGCUUCAAACCUCUUCAUCAUCAAAUCAUCUGCUUCGCCGAGAGAAGCCAACGACGAAGCCCACAUCACAGAAAGAAACAAAAAAAGAAACAAUACUUGGUACUUGGAAGCCAUAGCUCACACUUACGACUAGUUUUGUUGCUGAGAGUAAGGUUCUCCGCAUCGAGUUUAUGUACAAGUUCUCGACCUACUAAUUAAAGUUGCUGGACCAUUAAUGGACGUGAGAGGUCAAUUAUUCGGGGCUAUUAUUAUUAUUAUUAUUAUACGAUAUCAUUAUUGGCGGCAAUUUGCACCGCUGGUCACUGAGCCCUAAUAGCUACAUUUGGUUUGGGAACAAAUUUUGAGUAAUAAUUCGUUUAUCGUUCCACCAACAAACGAUAUUUGGGAAUUAUCUAGAAUAAGCACUAAAUUACAUUUGGAUGCUGUUUAUUGAGUUGAGUUGAAAUGCUAUUAAUAGUCUUUAAAUUUUUUUACUAUCGAUUUUUUAAUUCUUAGAUUUAUAUUUUAAUUAAUUUCUUAUUUAGGUCAUGCUAUUGAAUUUUAUAGGGAUAUAUUUAUAAUUAGUUAUGUUUACAAAAAACUAUACGUAAUUAACCCUAAAUUUAAUUAAAUUUUAAUUUUAAAAUUUUUUUAGAGGAAAAGACACAGUUUUCAGUUUCGUUCAUUUUGUGGUUUUUGUUUUUUUUUAUUUUUAAAGUAAAAUCUUAUUAUGUAGAGAGUUGGUGCUAAUGUGCAUGUGAUGAAAUUUCAUUAAUUGAUUUCUCUCUUCCGUUGUUCGAUCGGAAUGCCGCAAUCAUGAGAGGGACAGCAUUCCAGUGCUCCAUACGCCAGAGUUAUUGUGGCUGAGCUUGCACCUCUAUGUGGGACAAAAAUUUUGCGGGCACCAUCCCUAAAUUAAUAAUUUGGGGACCGUGCAAAUGGGUGUCACGUGAUUGGUUCGACGGAUGCCAAUUUUUACUAUUUUUUAUCUCUCUUUAGAAAAAUAGUAUAAUUUUUUUUUUUUUUUUCAUUGAUGGCAGUCGGAUGGACCACGUGACGCCCAUCCGCAUGGUCCCUCUAUGUGUUGUCCUUGUAUGAUUGAUGAUUGAUAGUACAACAUGUCUGGCACAACAGAAUAAGAAUAAGAGCCGCACGUAAAUUUAAAAUGAUAUAUGUAAAUUAACAAAUAUUAUUAUUGUUUAGAAUAGGUGUUUCUUUUUUUUAAGAGGGAACUCACCAAAAAUAGAAAAUUUUCUAGAUAAUGGCCGUUCCCUGAUACGUCAAUGUAUUGAAGGUGUUUUCGAUAAUAAAAUUGAGAUCUAGUAAAGUACAUUUACUGAAUAUAUAUGAGCGACGAUUUGUGAUAAUUUAUCUCUUCCUUCAAAAUCGUGUAGAAAUUAGAUAGAUUUUCUUUUAAUCGAACCGCUUCCGUAUUGAUCUAUAUAUAUAUAAUGUGAUUUGAAUACUCAUAAAAGGGGAUGGUGUACCAUUGCCCACUUUUAACAUGCACAAGACAUAGACUAUAAGUAAAAUUUACUUUUGUCUAAAUAAACGAAAGAUGAAAUAAUUAAUUUGAUUUGAUUUGAAAUUUAUAGUGGUGUUGGACCACAACAUACAUCUGAGUAAUUUAGAUACGACCUUAUUUUCUGUAGAUAUAUGAGAUUCGGUUAAAUUGCACUACAUGUCUCUGAACUUAAAUUUAAUUUUCAAAAAUUUGAUAUAUAUUUAAGACCGGACUUUUUGAAUUAUAUCAUUCUAGUCCUUAUUCUGAAUAAAAAAUGGGGUUAAAUUAUAGUCAAACUUUUCCCUGCAUGUGUCAGUUUACACCCUCAAUUUUUAAAUAUGUUGAAUGGGUAAAUUGCACUACUACUUCCCAAACUUCUAUUUUAGUCGUCAAUUUUUAAGUUUCGCAAUAUUUAGGACUCGUUGAAUGUAUCAUUCUAGCCCUUAGUUCAAAAAAAUAAAAAAUAAAAAAUAAAAAACUAUCGGAGAGAAAGAGAAAAGCUAAAUUUGUAGAAAACCUCCAUACAAAAGUUGUAUUUUACACUUUAUUUUCUUCAAUAUUUAAACUAUCAGGCAAAAUUAUUAUAUACCGACUAAGAUUUUAUAUUACAAUCACUCGCCCAAUCAUAUAUUAAGAAGCGGAAAAAGAUCUAAUAUGGUGUUAAUUAAAGAACUUGAAUCUUAUCCAAAAUAAGCGGUAAAGAUAGAUAACCUUCACAUUAGGUGUACUAUUUUAUUUUUAUCUAGUAAGAAACUAUACACAAGUACUCUAAUAAUAUAAUGUCUUUUCUAUUUCAAUUAUAUGUACUUUCCAUAUUGAACCUCACAUUACUUCAUAAAUAUUCAAAACAAAUAAAUCUAAAAAAAAAUUUCUCAAAAAACAAUAUAAAAAAAUAUUAUUAUUGAGAUAUUUUCGUAUCAUAAAGUUGCAUGUGAAUGUGCAGGACUUUUCAAAUUGUCUCGGGGGCCAUCCCAAUUAUUUUGCUGCCAACGUAUUCAAUGCGGUGACAACCGACAUUUAAUUAUUGGAGCAAAAAAAUGUAAGGAAACCCCUAAACUAUAAGCCUCUUUGAAAUAGCUCCUUCAAUCUAGUUUUUCUCUCAUUGCCCUCUUUUAUAUUAGUUUAGAGUGUGUUUGGUUCCACCUAAAAUUAUUUCAAUUUUUUUUUGGCAGUUGAAAAGUAAAUUCUCGAUGUUUGAUUGUUUGCAAAAAAAAUUUCUCAAUUUUUUUUUUUUACAGAUUCAAUAGAACUGGAGGAUUUUGUUCUCUGCUUGUUUCGAGAGGAAAACGAAAACUUCAGCCGCGAAAAUACGUGGCGUUUCGGAAAGGCGGGGAUGUGUAUCACGUGGUCCAAAAGGUGACCUCCACCUCGUGGACUGCAUGAGAGUCUCUCCCCCUUUUCUUAUAUAUAUAUAGAGUCCGGCAGCUAUACUCUAAUUAUGAGAACGAUCGCCCUCCUACUCAUAAGUCGUUUUCGAUAAUAGAGUUUCCGAAUCGACAAUCCAUACCGUUAAACAUUAUCUACAGUAUUUAAAACUUCUAGAAAUCAAAUUCUAUAGUAGGUCUUGUGUGCUUUUAGAAGUACAAGGCCUUCAUACUGCUAAACCGUUUUCGAUGAUAGAGAUUCUAAAUUAACGAUCGAUUCCGUUAGACUUGAUUUAGCAUAUUUGAAAUAUCUAAAAAAUAAAUUUUACGAUUUUUCGAUAUCAUUUAUCUAACGAUCAAAAGAGUUCAAAAUCAACGGUUGAAAAUAAAAAUCUCACAAAAAGCGGUGAUAUGGACACUAAAAUUUUUGAUUAGAGAUAUUGAUCUUGCUAUAAAUAGUAUAAAUAAUUUUUUAUAAAAAUUUUAUCUGAUUUGAAUAAUUAUACACGGUUAAAUUUGCAAACAGUAUAUAUAUAUCAACAAUUAACAAUUAUUAAUUUUGAUCCCUUUCGAUCAUUAAGUAAAUGAUAUUAAAAAAUCACAAAAUUUAUUUUCUAAAUAUUUUAAAUACGCUAGAUCAAGUUUAACGGAGCUGAUCGUUAAUUCAAAAGCUCCAUCAUCAAAAAUAGUUUAGAAGCACAGAGGCUCGAUCCGUGCUUCUAAUAGCGUAGUUGAAAUAUUCAAAAACUCCAUCAUCAAUGAUCGGUGCGAAUUAAGGAAGAAAAAAUUCAACUUAUCUUACAAAAUUAUUUUGGGAAAUCCUCGCUGCACAAUUAGGCGAAUCCUAUGCCCAAAUGAACAUCAAGAGAUUGAUAAAAAAAAGGGAGAGCAAAGAAAUGGGUUUAAAAAAACACAAGGAGGGCCCCAAUCCACCUCUCCUCCACCCAAAUAAAUGUACGCGGUACCGCCACGUUGGAUUAAACUGUGAUUUUAUAAAUUUUUAUUAUAGAAGAUGUUAUCAACAAAAAAUUUUAAUUCUUAUAUUUUUUUAUAUAUAAAGUGAAAAUUUUUAUUUUAGUUUAUUUUAAUAUCUUUUCUGUGAAACAAUCGUUGUACUCUAAAAACUUAAAUUGUUAGAGAACGAUGUUUAAACAUUUUUUAUAUUUAACACUCCCCCUCACGUCUGGGCUUGAGACUUUUUAGUCGGCCCAUGACGUGAGCUUGAAUUAAAUGGGAGGAAAUUAAUAUGUUAGGAGUCUGGCGUGACUCCAACUCAAGACCUCCUGCUCUGAUUUAGAUGUGAAACAACUGUUGUACUCUAAAAGCUUAAACUGUUAGAGAACGGUGCUUAAACAUUUUUCAUAUUUAACACUCCCCCUCACGUCUGGGCUCGAGACUUUUUAGUCGGCCCAUGACGUGGGCUUGAAUUAAAUGGGAGUAAAUUAAUAUGCUAGGAGCCUGGCGUGACUCGAACUCAGGACCUCCUGCUCUGAUACCAUGUGAAACAUCCGUUGUACCCUAAAAGCUUAAGCUGUUAGAGAACGGUGUUUAAACAUUUUUUAUAUUUAACAUUUUCCUGCAUUUGAUUCAAAAUUUAUUACAAACUAAUAGGUUGAUGAUGUCUUCUGUUUUUAUUUAAUAUCUAAAUUUGAGGGCAGUGAGUACCCCAAUUUAAUUUUUUUAAUUCAAUAUCAUUUGAUUAUCAAAUUAUUCAUAAAUAAAAAUGGUGAAUAAAAAGUGAAAUUGUAUCGUACAAUUUGUGAAUAUAUAUUUUUAGUUUACCUUGUUUAAAUUAGUAUGAUUGUUUUAUUUAAUAUUUGUACAAUUUAAUUACGUUCAAUUAACUAUAUUUUGUUUGCUAUGCAUUUUACUGCAUUUAUGAAAUUUUAAAGGUAAAAAUUUAUAGUUUAAUCAAAAAGUAUUGAUGAUUGGCAUUGGGCAACGUAGAAAUUUUGAAAGAGUUGUCACUAAUCUUAAUAUUUUGAAUAAUUUUUUUUCAAAUUAGCUAAAUAUUUUUGGCAUUAUUAUUUUAGAAAAGCUUCUAUGUAUAUAAUGUGACAAAGGAUUAGAAGAGGGUACGUAGAUAUGAUGUUAUUCCUAGGUAAUACACUAAUUACCUUAACUCUUUGAAUGGUUCAUAAGGCGGAAACAUUUUGAUAAUUAAUAUAAAGGGUACAACUCGAUCUUUCUUUCUUUUUUUUUCUUUUUUUUCUUUUUUUUUUUUUGAGAAAAGGUAGUGAAGCUACCUGCUUCAUUCAUUAGGCUAAAUAAACUAAGCAUAUAUGAUUGAGGCAACUAAGGCCUCCGGAAGGGUCUUGAAGAAAAACAAAAUAAAUGGAAAAAAAAGGAAAAAAAAGAAAAAAGACAAAAAAGUAGACAACAGUGAAUAAACCUUACUAAAAACGGUCGUCCCAAUAAGGUACCAAAACAGGGUGCGCGGUCGAGUCAAAGUGCGUCAGCCCAGUCUUUGAUCAAGUAAGUGACACGUUCGAUGGCCCGGGCAGCGUUAGAACGUGUAUCGCGAAAAAUAAUAUUAUUACGUUCCGUCCAUACCACCAACCAGAUUGCCUCUAGAUGAGCCCGGCUUUGACUCGAUCAUUACUAGGCUUUGACUCGAUCAUUACUCCGGUACAUUCUAGUUUUGUAUACUCCAGCUCCGAGGAGAACACAACGCUCGUUUCCGAGAUGCAGAACAAAUUAAACAGAUGCUGUAGCAUCAUGUCACGUUUCAAAUUGUUUCGUGACCACCUCAAUAUAUGUUCACUUUUUUGUACACAUGGUUACUGCAGAUUGAACCAGCACGUGACCGAUACGUACGUUUAGUCCCCAUUAAGAUUGGAAUUAUUGGCACAUGCACGUGUUAGGUGUACGUAGCUCGAUCGGAAUAUAGAACAAUAAUACAUAAUUAGUAUGGCACUAUUAGGUAAUAAAUAACAUGAAGUAACGACGAAAGCAAGCUUAUAUGGAUAUGUUUCAGCACUUUUCAAAUGGGAUGGCAAAUUAUGAUGUACGAAAUAUAUUAUUACAUACAAAAAUAAAUAAAAUAUUUAUUUAUCAUAUUUUUUCUUUACAGGUGGCACAAUCUUUCAAUAAUUUCAAACAAAGCGUUAGUGUAUUAGAAUUUUAAUUCUUGAAUGAGAAAUUGUUGGAUUAAAAUGAUAUUAGUAUCUUAGAGUUGAGUGAUUCCUCUAAAGUUGAGUGGUUCCUACUGAAUUAUAAUAUUUAAUUCAAUAAUUUAAAAUAAUAAAAAGAAUUGAUCCAAAAAACCUAUAGCAAAAAUGGCCUUUUGGUAUCAAUAGUAUUCUAUCCCAUCUCUCUCUCUCUCUCUCUCUCUCUUUCUCUCUCUCUCUCUAUAUAUAUAUAUAUAUAUAUAUAUGAAUCAGGCUGGGAUACUAUCAAUAGGACCAAGCGUUUAGUGCUAUCAAGUUUUUCACUGUUAGAUUUAACUCUUUGACUAUUUUUAUCUGUUAGAUUAUACUAUUAAACCGAUAACUUAUUCAACCCUAGGAGGCCCACAUUAUUUUAACCGUAUAUUUUUUCAUCCAAGGACCGAAAAUCUAAUAGCACCAAUAGUUUGGUGCUAUUGAUAAUAUUCCAGCCUAGUUCUAUAUGCACACACAGGUCUUGUGUGCUAUUAGGAGCACAGAAGUCUUCGUGCUCCUAAGUCAUUUUUUAUGAUGAAGUUUUUGAAUCGACGAUCGAUUCCAUUAGACUUGAUUUAUCUAUUUAAAAUAUUUAGAAAAUAAAUUUUAAAGAAAGCGCUAGUGGAUUAGCAUUUAGCGAGUUAGAUUUCAAUUUCUUACCUCACAUGUAGUGUGUGGGCUUAGAUUUCAACUUCUUACCUCACAUCUAGUGUGUGGGCAUGUACGUAAUUGCACCGCACAGAGCAAUAUAGAUGCACAAUUCUAUUAACUGCUACAGGCUUUACAUACCAUUACUUGAUGAUCUUAUUCGGAUAAAAAUUUGCUAGGCAUCAUCCCCAAAUUAUAAGUUGGGGGACGAUGCGGAUGUGUGCCGCAUCGCCCUUCCGACACGCGCCCAUGGAAGGAAAAAAAAAAAAUGGCGCCCUGUGUUUAUAUAGAGAGAGAGAGUGAGAGAGAGAGAGAGAGCAGAGGGAGGGAGGAGAGUGAUCGUCGGAUGGGUCAGGCGGCGCCCAUCUGUAUCAUCUAGUUUGGAGACCAUGCCCAGCAACUUUUUGUCCAACUUACUCAUCAAAACAGCAUAAACUUACAAAAUUAAAUACAAACAGUUGGCUACUAAAUAUAUAUUAGGCAGCCAGUGGAACUGAUAAUAAUGCAACAAAAAUACAAAUGAAAACAGCAAGCCCUACUCGAUCAUACAGAUAAUCUUCGCACGAGCAUCGCCCGAUUUAUUACAUAGCUUAUAAGGUACGUAGCACACAGGGCACUUCAUUGCAUGCUAAAUCGCAGCUUCGAUAACCCUUACAUGGAGCUGACACGAUCAUCCGAACCCAUGUCAGAGGGUUCUGUAAUGCGCGGUGACGAAACAAGAGUCGGGUAAAUACCAUAGCUAGCCAGACCACAUAAUCCAGGAUAUGCCGUGUCUCUUAACAUCCUCACGUAUCCAUUUUCUCCCCACCUGUUGCCCCAUGAAUUCUUUAUUAUCCAAUACUUGUCUCCGGUGCUGCUGUCCUGCCCGUAACCUACGACGGUAACGGCAUGGAAAAUAUUUGUCCCACAAG
rnacentral:lncRNA from 1 species